rnacentral:lncRNA from 1 species
CCUGGAAUGGUAUUUAGAUCUCAGAAGUACACUGCAGGAGGGUAAGUCUUCACUGAGACAUCAGUCAUAGAAAUGAGGAAUGCUGAUGACAAAUUGAAAUGUCAGCAUUAUCAGCAGUUUUGUUGGAAGCUGUUUGAUACUGAUUUAACGAUAAAACAAGAAAUAGGACAAAUGUGCCCUGGAAAGGUGGGGAUGCUGACUUGGGAAACUAGGCUGAAAUGAAAGCAAAGGAAAAGGAAAAUAAAUAUUAGGCCAAGUGUGCGAAAUGUAAUAACUCUGGAGUCUUCCCCAGAGGAAACGAUGAAAUGCCUCAGUAGAUGCAAAGGAGGACAGAUGUAUUAUCACACAUGUGAGUGCCAGGAUUCAGCAUCUAAGAUGCAGGGAGGUGGCUACCUGUACAUCUCUCUAUGUAACUGCACCUCACUAUGAAGCUGGGAAAACUAGUGUCUGCAACUAGUCAGCUGGUUUCUUGAUCCAUUAUCCUUCUAGCUCAUCUGUUAUUGAUCUUUUGAAUAUUGGAGAACCCAUGAGAUCUGGAAAGAAGGGUGUGCAAAAAUGAAGGCAACAUUUUUUUUUUAAUUUAAAUGUAUUUACGAAUUUCUUAUUUUAGUAGGGAAGCUGCCCUU